rnacentral:rRNA from 16 species
AACAAUGUAGGCAAGGGAAGUCGGCAAAACGGAUCCGUAACUUCGGGAAAAGGAUUGGCUCUGAGGACUGGGCUCGGGGGUCCCGGCCCCGAACCCGUCGGCUGUUGGCGGAUUGCUCGAGCUGCUCACGCGGCGAGAGCGGGUCGCCGCGUGAGCAGCUCGAGCAAUCCGCCAACAGCCGACGGGUUCGGGGCCGGGACCCCCGAGCCCAGUCCUCAGAGCCAAUCCUUUUCCCGAAGUUACGGAUCCGUUUUGCCGACUUCCCUUGCCUACAUU